rnacentral:rRNA from 1 species
GGUUAAGCGACUAAGCGUACACGGUGGAUGCCCUGGCAGUCAGAGGCGAUGAAGGACGUGCUAAUCUGCGAUAAGCGUCGGUAAGGUGAUAUGAACCGUUAUAACCGGCGAUUUCCGAAUGGGGAAACCCAGUGUGUUUCGACACACUAUCAUUAACUGAAUCCAUAGGUUAAUGAGGCGAACCGGGGAACUGAAACAUCUAAGUACCCCGAGGAAAAGAAAUCAACCGAGAUUCCCCCAGUAGCGGCGAGCGAACGGGGAGCAGCCCAGAGCCUGAAUCAGUGUGUGUGUUAGUGGAAGCGUCUGGAAAGGCGCGCGAUACAGGGUGACAGCCCCGUACACAAAAAUGCACAUACUGUGAGCUCGAUGAGUAGGGCGGGACACGUGGUAUCCUGUCUGAAUAUGGGGGACCAUCCUCCAAGGCUAAAUACUCCUGACUGACCGAUAGUGAACCAGUACCGUGAGGGAAAGGCGAAAAGAACCCCGGCGAGGGGAGUGAAAAAGAACCUGAAACCGUGUACGUACAAGCAGUGGGAGCACAGAGCAAUCUGUGUGACUGCGUACCUUUUGUAUAAUGGGUCAGCGACUUAUAUUCUGUAGCAAGGUUAACCGAAUAGGGGAGCCGAAGGGAAACCGAGUCUUAACUGGGCGUUAAGUUGCAGGGUAUAGACCCGAAACCCGGUGAUCUAGCCAUGGGCAGGUUGAAGGUUGGGUAACACUAACUGGAGGACCGAACCGACUAAUGUUGAAAAAUUAGCGGAUGACUUGUGGCUGGGGGUGAAAGGCCAAUCAAACCGGGAGAUAGCUGGUUCUCCCCGAAAGCUAUUUAGGUAGCGCCUCGUGAAUUCAUCUCCGGGGGUAGAGCACUGUUUCGGCAAGGGGGUCAUCCCGACUUACCAACCCGAUGCAAACUGCGAAUACCGGAGAAUGUUAUCACGGGAGACACACGGCGGGUGCUAACGUCCGUCGUGAAGAGGGAAACAACCCAGACCGCCAGCUAAGGUCCCAAAGUCAUGGUUAAGUGGGAAACGAUGUGGGAAGGCCCAGACAGCCAGGAUGUUGGCUUAGAAGCAGCCAUCAUUUAAAGAAAGCGUAAUAGCUCACUGGUCGAGUCGGCCUGCGCGGAAGAUGUAACGGGGCUAAACCAUGCACCGAAGCUGCGGCAGCGACGCUUAUGCGUUGUUGGGUAGGGGAGCGUUCUGUAAGCCUGUGAAGGUGUGCUGUGAGGCAUGCUGGAGGUAUCAGAAGUGCGAAUGCUGACAUAAGUAACGAUAAAGCGGGUGAAAAGCCCGCUCGCCGGAAGACCAAGGGUUCCUGUCCAACGUUAAUCGGGGCAGGGUGAGUCGACCCCUAAGGCGAGGCCGAAAGGCGUAGUCGAUGGGAAACAGGUUAAUAUUCCUGUACUUGGUGUUACUGCGAAGGGGGACGGAGAAGGCUAUGUUGGCCGGGCGACGGUUGUCCCGGUUUAAGCGUGUAGGCUGGUUUUCCAGGCAAAUCCGGAAAAUCAAGGCUGAGGCGUGAUGACGAGGCACUACGGUGCUGAAGCAACAAAUGCCCUGCUUCCAGGAAAAGCCUCUAAGCAUCAGGUAACAUCAAAUCGUACCCCAAACCGACACAGGUGGUCAGGUAGAGAAUACCAAGGCGCUUGAGAGAACUCGGGUGAAGGAACUAGGCAAAAUGGUGCCGUAACUUCGGGAGAAGGCACGCUGAUAUGUAGGUGAAGUCCCUCGCGGAUGGAGCUGAAAUCAGUCGAAGAUACCAGCUGGCUGCAACUGUUUAUUAAAAACACAGCACUGUGCAAACACGAAAGUGGACGUAUACGGUGUGACGCCUGCCCGGUGCCGGAAGGUUAAUUGAUGGGGUCAGCGCAAGCGAAGCUCUUGAUCGAAGCCCCGGUAAACGGCGGCCGUAACUAUAACGGUCCUAAGGUAGCGAAAUUCCUUGUCGGGUAAGUUCCGACCUGCACGAAUGGCGUAAUGAUGGCCAGGCUGUCUCCACCCGAGACUCAGUGAAAUUGAACUCGCUGUGAAGAUGCAGUGUACCCGCGGCAAGACGGAAAGACCCCGUGAACCUUUACUAUAGCUUGACACUGAACAUUGAGCCUUGAUGUGUAGGAUAGGUGGGAGGCUUAGAAGUGUGGACGCCAGUCUGCAUGGAGCCGACCUUGAAAUACCACCCUUUAAUGUUUGAUGUUCUAACGUUGACCCGUAAUCCGGGUUGCGGACAGUGUCUGGUGGGUAGUUUGACUGGGGCGGUCUCCUCCUAAAGAGUAACGGAGGAGCACGAAGGUUGGCUAAUCCUGGUCGGACAUCAGGAGGUUAGUGCAAUGGCAUAAGCCAGCUUGACUGCGAGCGUGACGGCGCGAGCAGGUGCGAAAGCAGGUCAUAGUGAUCCGGUGGUUCUGAAUGGAAGGGCCAUCGCUCAACGGAUAAAAGGUACUCCGGGGAUAACAGGCUGAUACCGCCCAAGAGUUCAUAUCGACGGCGGUGUUUGGCACCUCGAUGUCGGCUCAUCACAUCCUGGGGCUGAAGUAGGUCCCAAGGGUAUGGCUGUUCGCCAUUUAAAGUGGUACGCGAGCUGGGUUUAGAACGUCGUGAGACAGUUCGGUCCCUAUCUCGCCGUGGGCGCUGGAGAACUGAGGGGGCUGCUCCUAGUACGAGAGGACCGGAGUGGACGCAUCACUGGUGUUCGGGUUGUCAUGCCAAUGGCACUGCCCGGUAGCUAAAUGCGGAAGAGAUAAGUGCUGAAAGCAUCUAAGCACGAAACUUGCCCCGAGAUGAGUUCUCCCUGACUCCUUGAGAGUCCUGAAGGAACGUUGAAGACGACGACGUUGAUAGGCCGGGUGUGUAAGCGCAGCGAUGCGUUGAGCUAACCGGUACUAAUGAACCGUGAGGCUUAACCUU